GGAUCGAUAGCUCAGUCUGGGAGCGCACGACGCUGACGACGUCGCGUGCCUCGGUUCGAAUCCGAAUCGAUCUG
rnacentral:tRNA from 1 species